UACGUAGGGUGCGAGCGUUGUCCGGAAUUAUUGGGCGUAAAGAGCUCGUAGGCGGUUUGUCGCGUCUGCUGUGAAAACUCGAGGCUCAACCUCGGGCUUGCAGUGGGUACGGGCAGACUAGAGUGCGGUAGGGGAGACUGGAAUUCCUGGUGUAGCGGUGGAAUGCGCAGAUAUCAGGAGGAACACCGAUGGCGAAGGCAGGUCUCUGGGCCGCAACUGACGCUGAGGAGCGAAAGCUAGGGGAGCAAACAGG
rnacentral:rRNA from 1 species